rnacentral:rRNA from 1 species
ACGGGUGAGUAACGCGUGGGAAUCUACCCAUCUCUACGGAACAACUCCGGGAAACUGGAGCUAAUACCGUAUACGUCCUUCGGGAGAAAGAUUUAUCGGAGAUGGAUGAGCCCGCGUUGGAUUAGCUAGUUGGUGGGGUAAUGGCCUACCAAGGCGACGAUCCAUAGCUGGUCUGAGAGGAUGAUCAGCCACACUGGGACUGAAACACGGCCCACACUCCUACGGGAGGCAGCAGUGGGGAAUAUUGGACAAUGGGCGAAAGCCUGAUCCAGCCAUGCCGCGUGAGUGAUGAAGGCCCUAGGGUUGUAAAGCUCUUUCAACGGUGAAGAUUAUGACGGUCACCGUAUAAGAAGCCCCGGCUAACUUCGUGCCAGCAGCCGCGGUAAUACUAACGGGGCUAGCGUUGUUCGGAAUUACUGGGCGUAAAGCGCACGUAAGCCGAUUGUUAAGUUAGGGGUGAAAUCCCAGGGCUCAACCCUGGAACUGCCUUUAAUACUGGCAAUCUCGAGUCCGAGAGAGGUGAGUGGAAUUCCAAGUGUAUAGGUGAAAUUCGUAUA